rnacentral:rRNA from 1 species
UACGUAGGGUGCGAGCGUUGUCCGGAAUUACUGGGCGUAAAGAGCUCGUAGGUGGUUUGUCGCGUUGUCCGUGAAAACUCACAACUCAAUUGUGGGCGUGCGGGCGAUACGGGCAGACUGGAGUACUGCAGGGGAGACUGGAAUUCCUGGUGUAGCGGUGGAAUGCGCAGAUAUCAGGAGGAACACCGGUGGCGAAGGCGGUUCUCUGGGCCUGUACUGACGCUGAGGAACGAAAGCGUGGGGAGCGAACAGG